UACAGAGGGUGCAAGCGUUAAUCGGAAUUACUGGGCGUAAAGCGUGCGCAGACGGUUGCGUAGUCAGAUGUGAAAGCCCCGGGCUCAACCUGGGAACUGCAUUGGUGACUGGCAGGCUAGAGUAUGGCAGAGGGGGGGUAGAAUUCCACGUGUAGCAGUGAAAUGCGUAGAGAUGUGGAGGAAUACCGAUGGCGAAGGCAGCCCCCUGGGCCAAUACUGACGCUCAUGCACGAAAGCGUGGGGAGCAAACAGG
rnacentral:rRNA from 1 species